UACGGAGGGAGCUAGCGUUGUUCGGAAUUACUGGGCGUAAAGCGCGCGUAGGCGGUCCAUCAAGUCAGAGGUGAAAGCCCGGGGCUCAACCCCGGAACUGCCUUUGAAACUGGCGGACUAGAAUCUUGGAGAGGCGAGUGGAAUUCCGAGUGUAGAGGUGAAAUUCGUAGAUAUUCGGAAGAACACCAGUGGCGAAGGCGACUCGCUGGACAAGUAUUGACGCUGAGGUGCGAAAGCGUGGGGAGCAAAC
rnacentral:rRNA from 1 species